rnacentral:rRNA from 1 species
AUGCACAACAGGAAACUGAGCUCAAAACUAAAUGAACCAAUCAUCUACCAGUUCCUACUCACAUGCAAUCUCCGCCAGAGCUUUCUGAGUGCGCUUCUCCAGCUUGUCGAUCCUCUUCUGCACAUCUCGUUUCAGGUCCCAGUUCGGGUUCUUCGGAGCGAUGUUCCCGAAGGGGUUCUGCAGAUAAAUAUUCGGCAUCAGCAGCGAUCGGAUCUUCAAACUUGGGAAGAGACAGCGGGGCCACCUUGCCACCUCGGAGACGCUCAUCAUGAGGAAGCAAAACGCAGUUUGGCAUGCCGUCGUCCCCAACUGAAACUGGAGACGGAAGAGAAGGCGCUAGCAAAGCUAGAGGGCCAGAGGGAGGAAAUUUAG